rnacentral:rRNA from 1 species
UGGGGAAUAUUGCACAAUGGGCGCAAGCCUGAUGCAGCCAUGCCGCGUGUGUGAAGAGGGCCUUCGGGUUGUAAAGCACUUUCAGCGAGGAGGAAGGUGGUGAGCUUAAUACGCUCAUCAAUUGACGUUACUCGCAGAAGAAGCACCGGCUAACUCCGUGCCAGCAGCCGCGGUAAUACGGAGGGUGCAAGCGUUAAUCGGAAUUACUGGGCGUAAAGCGCACGCAGGCGGUUUGUUAAGUCAGAUGUGAAAUCCCCGGGCUCAACCUGGGAACUGCAUUUGAAACUGGCAAGCUAGAGUCUCGUAGAGGGGGGUAGAAUUCCAGGUGUAGCGGUGAAAUGCGUAGAGAUCUGGAGGAAUACCGGUGGCGAAGGCGGCCCCCUGGACGAAGACUGACGCUCAGGUGCGAAAGCGUGGGGCAGCAAACAGGAUUAGAUACCCUGGUAGUCCACGCUGUAAACGAUGUCGAUUUUGGAGGUUGUGCCCUUGAGGCGUGGCUUCCGGAGCUAACGCGUUAAAUCGACCGCCUGGGGAGUACGGCCGCAAGGUUAAAACUCAAAUGAAUUGACGGGGUCAUAGCUG